AAAAAUAUUUUCACUUGAGUCGGUGCAUUUGACGUGGACAGCCGGAUGCUACCUGCACUUAAGUUGGAGUUUACCUCGACUGGAAACCACACAGCUGGAUAAACUGAGAUGGAGGAUGACAAGACCUACACAGACCUUCUCGCAAGCCUGAAGAGGUAGCCGACUGCUCAUGAGCUUGCGCUCACAAUGCUGAAGACCAUGAGGGGAUGGAGGAAGAAGGUAUAGAUUUAUGUGCCGUGUGUAGGAUGGUGCAGACU